UACGUAGGGGGCAAGCGUUGUCCGGAUUUAUUGGGCGUAAAGAGCGUGUAGGCGGUUUGGUAGGUCCGCUGUGAAAACUCGAGGCUCAACCUCGAGACGCCGGUGGAAACCAUCAGACUAGAGUCCGGAAGAGGAGAGUGGAAUUCCUGGUGUAGCGGUGAAAUGCGCAGAUAUCAGGAAGAACACCGGUGGCGAAGGCGGCUCUCUGGACCGAUACUGACGCUGAGGCGCGAAAGCGUGGGGAGCAAACAGG
rnacentral:rRNA from 1 species